AGAACAAAGUUCUUCCGCCGGGGGCCAAGCACCAGGCAUACAGGCAGAUCUCCUUCCAAAUGUGUUCAGAAUCCAAAACCAGCCGAGCUCAAACGGUGGAGGGCGGAGGUCAAAGCCAAAAUGCCGAAGCGGCAUCGAGCGACGACGACUGCACGUGAACGGAAAAAGUUGCCGGCAGAGACGCGUGUCGAAGUGCGACCACAAGGGGGCGCUCCAGCCGGCAGCCAUUCCAACAAAUUCUUCAACCUGCACUUGGCGAACACGACCCCGCCCUGAGUGUUCCCUCGUGGGCGGCCUGACAACUUGCGGUCUUGGGUUCCAUUCCGGCCUCGACCCGACGUUGCGCCGGAAUGUCUCCGUUGCGUCCCCCGUCCUCAACAGAAGCUCACGUUUGCAACCCCCUCGGCCGGCGCAGAGCUGCGAGUUUUCUUUCUAUGCAUAAUUCUGAUGAAAUUGUACAAAUUUGAAACUCGCCAUAAGCAGGUACAUUGCAAGAGCUUUGCAUCUAUAAUAAUUUUUUCCCCAUUUUAUUUAAACGUAAUAAAAUCAAGCAAUUGGGAUAAGUAAUCAAAUAUCUUUCAUUGAAUUUCAAAGUGAAUUGUUACAAGGUGAAGCAGAUCUGAAUUACAAAACAUACACAUUUAAAACGCGCUCACUGCAUUUUAGACAGACUCAACGCCCUGCACGGGGUUUGAACCACCAACCUCUCGGUUCCAAAGCCACAUCGCGACGCCCUCACCCGUCACCGAGUUGACAGU